rnacentral:lncRNA from 1 species
UCACCAGGAAAACCAACGAUUGAUUUUUUUUGUCUUUUAAUUCCUGAAAAAUAAACCAAGACAUUAAAUUAUAAUCCUAGAGGCAAAAAUCAAUCAAAAUUGUGAAUGGCUCCUCUUUGGAAUCCUAGGGCCACUGAUAUAUAAAAGUUGCUCACAAAAAUAAGCAAUGUUUUUCUUGAUUCCUUUCAUAGUAUUUUAUUCUUAUCAUUUUUACCCUUACUUAUUUUAACUUGGGGUGAUUGAAAUCGAAGCAUUCUUCACUUAACCUUUAUUUUGGCUCUCACCCAACAGUAAUCAUUUCAUUUCCUUUUCUUGAUUAUUAUUGCCUGCAGUUUAAUUGGAUUCUUGUGACAGUAUUUGUUAUUUAGGUUUUCUGUCAAUCAUGCAAUUCCUGUCUUAUAGUUUCCCUCAUAGGCAUUUAGAGCAAAAAAAUCUUAAAAAAUUUAUGCUCUUGUUCCAAACAUCAACUCAUAAGGAUGCUUCCCAAGAAGUAUGGGUUCAUUAGUGAUUACCUUUUAUUUAUCUUAGCUUUCCUUCAGUUUAUGCCCUUUUGAACUAUGUUGAUGUUUUUAUAGCAUUUGGCUUAAAAAAGUUUUCCUUGAAGUGCAAGGGUCUAUUUUCUCGCAACAGACUCUUACGACCUUUUGUGAGCCAAACAUAUAACCCAUUCAGAAUUCUCAUUGUAUGUUUUAUAUGCGGCAAGAGAAAUCAUGCUUUAGUGAGUUAAUCAUUGGAUGAAUCAAAUAGGGUAAUUUUUGAUUGACCCAGAUUUUUGGCUUAUAUUUUGUGCUGUUUGAAAACUUCUUUUAUCUUUCGUGUGAUCUGUUCGUGUAACCUAGAUGUGAGGCUAUCAAUGACAAAGUAGUUUCUUUUUACUUCCUCUAGUGGAAUCGCCACAUGAUUUUUUGACAUAUCUGCUACUAUUAUUUCUCUAAGGUUAACAUUUAUGACCGUACUUACUAUGCCUUUCAUUGAGCCUUUGUAGCUUUGAAACUUAUGGUGGCCAAAGUUAACCAUAGGUCACUAUUUGAUAUAUGUCUUUAAGGUUUUCAUAUCUUUGACACUUUAUACUUUUUCUGCCUUCUAGGCAAUCACUUCUACACAGAUGUGCAUUGAUUCUUCACUUUUGUUGAUGUUGAUAUGGUACAUUGCCUUUUUUAUGUUAUGUUUCUUUACUCAAUAUGACUUGAGGCUAUUUAUUGUAUUCGUUAGCCUAAUUUGUGCAACACUCACCCGGGAAGUUCCGUGCUUCUGUAGCAUGAACAAGAGCACCAGGAUAACUGCAGAGAGAGCCUCCACAAUGGCUGCGAGAUCGAAAGGCUUCCGAUGAGAAUGAUGCCAAGAUGUUGGGUUCUUGAGAGGAACCAGCCUGCCUGACGAGACCACUUACAUUUACUGACCGAAUGAAGAGGGCCUCUUAAGCCAUCCAUUGCCGACAGCCUCAAGGGUACAGUUAAUUAUGUUAGAUCAGAGUUCCCAAUUUCAUGGAAGAUCUGGUUUUCCUUCGGCUAUUGUCUGUGAUAUGUUUAUCUUGAAAUAUGAUCUAUAAUUCAAUUGUGGUUUUUUCUUUUUCAUUCCUUUUUUUUUGCUUUUUGUGUUUGCAAUUGUUGACUGUGAGUUCAAGGCUGGCUUUGAGUUGAACUAUAUCUAUGAUAUCAUUUCUUAGUGCCAAAUAUCUAUGGAUGGAGUACAUUUUUCAUAUCUGUUGGUGAGGAGUCAAUGUAUCUGUGCUGGGUGGAAAUGAUAAAAAGCAUGACGCACGAUUUGAAACUCUAAAGGCUCUUGACUACGAUCUUUUGUGGAGUUUCAUGUUUUUUCGUUGCUUCCAUUGAUGCUUUCAGACUGGAGAGAUCAGUGGAGACAUCAACUUAUAGGAAUUUGAUUAAGAAGUUUAUAUUUGAGGACCCGGAGUAAUUCAUAAGUCAAGUUUUAAAUGAAAGAAACUGGAUCGAUUUUCCUUCGGUUAUCUCUUCUGCCGUUGUUAUUUCAUUGUAUUCAAGCUCAAUCGGGUUUUAUUUUUGUUUUGUGAAGGUUCUUAUUUAGAGGGUUGUACACACUCACUUUUUACAGUUUUCAUUGAGAUGAACCUGGUCAAAAACUAACCCACUGAAAAGAGAACCCUGAGAAUCUUGUUAUCCCCUUUCUUAAUAUAGGCUAAUUUUCUCCUAUUUAUACAUAGACCUCCUCAUUGUCUAGUUCCUAGUGCUGGACUUGGUAGGCUUGCACUGGGGGUUUCUUGUCUAAGUGAAAACAAUAUUCAGUUACUCCUAACCGCUUCUAGUUCCUUUUUCCCCCUUUUGUCAUAUCAUUUGACUCUCCACUGUGUCUUAUAGGAUAUCUUUGUCAAGGAAAUGCUUUUUCUUAUUAUAUGGUGAUCUCCUCAAAGUUUCUUUGACCAGGUUGAUCCUUUUUGACAUAUUGAGCCUUGAUUUGGAUAAAGAUGAGGUACGGCUGGUGGGGACGUAGAUACAAGCCUUAUCAGAAGGAAAUAACAUUUGAUAAAAAAUUAGAUCAGAGUUCCAGGACAUGAUUAACAAUGAUUAUACCCUGAGAAUGUGAAUGAAGAACUGUAGCCGACGAUCUUAGAGAAAAACAGCUCGCUAACUAUGCUCCUCUCAAAGUAUGUAGAGUUCCCACACGGCCUAGAGGAUACUAGGAUUCUAACAAGGACUAGCUAGCUCUCAACUUCAAGCUUUUCAUACCCAAUUUCUCCUUAGAGGACCUUGGAGUUUAAUUUAUUUCAAAAGAUUGUUUCUUCUCAGAUCAAGUUGAGCGUACUAUUUAUGGCCUCAACAUGAGGCUUUUAAAGGAGUGUUCUUAGAUCUGGCCUAGAAAUCCCAGCAUCUCCCUUAAUUAAUGGGCUGGAAUUUCCACCUUAAAUGUUCCUAAAAGUAGUGAAAGUGGUUGGGGUUUCUUAAAGUAUCUUAAAAUUUUUAAUAGCCCUAAAUAUCUCUAGAAACGGUCAAAAAAUUGUCAAAGAUAGCUUGGACUUAUGAUAUAUGAAAAUCAGAAAAAGAGAUACUUAUUGUCACCCAAUCCUGUGUGUUGACUCCAGCUAGUGCAUGGUCGACUCUAUUGUCCUCAUCAAAUUCUUGUGGUAAUUUAUCAUUCUUUUUGGCUUUCAGUUGGCUAAAGAGUGAGCUUGGGAUUUUUCUUUUUAGAAUCACUAUUUAUUGGGUAAGAAGUUUGAUGAAAUGACAUGAUUCCACCCACUCCCCCUCUUGCUAUUUCUUCGGUAAAACAUGGAAUGCCUUUGUAACCUUACAAAUUGUUCGAUUUGCAUAAAUUUUAUUCGAAUGAUUUUCUUAGGUUCUCUAUUGAUGAAUUACACAACUUGUCAGUUCUAUUACAUUUGAUUUCUAGAUGUGUUACUUGCUCAAUUUCUUAGAAGCGGGGAUUAAUACUAUAACUGUUGCUAUAAAAAACAUCUAAAUCUGUAACUUUCUCUUUCUUAUAAAGCACAUGAAUGCCUAAGAUAAUCAAAGCAGAGAUUAAAAGCAUUAGGGCUUUCAGGGAGAUGGUUCAUGCUGAGGAUACUCAAUGUCGUUCAGAAGUAUGGCAUUGUGACUCUUGGAAACUCCGAUUGCAUCACAUAGGUACUUUGCUGAGGAUCAAAGGAAAUUCAUGGACAGAACAUAGAAUGAUAAACGAAGUGAGAUCUAGAGAUUUUUUUUUAUUGGGAGAGCUUUUUCUCAGUGGAGAAGUAAUUAAAGUCGUAGUAGAGUCAUUUUAUGUUAAGUCAUAGCAUGGUAAUAUCAGCAUGUUUAGAGCGUGUGAGACUUAUGAAUUUGUUCGAACACAUUUGGUUACAUCUUUAUGUAAGUUUUUCAUUUCUAGAUUAUUGGGUGAUCUGUCAGGGAUCAAGUUGUUUUUGUAUAUAGUAUUGUGUUCAGCUUUCUUUUGAUCAUGAUAUAACAUCUUUCUGAUCUUCUUGCAG